CAUAAAAGGAAAAUAAAUGUAGUAAUGACAAACAAGCAUAACGUCUGCUCAUUCUCCAUUUUCUCUCCUUUUCCUCUCUUUCUUUUGCCUAAAAUAUCGCUCCUCCUUGCUCCCUUUCCUCAAUAAAACUCCAACCAUCACAGCGAAGUUUUCCCUCCAUUAACCACUCUUCUGUUCUGUUCUGUUCUUUCUCAUGGCUUCUUUUGCCUUCCAUUAGUCGUUACAUUCGAGGCUGUAAUCAAUACAUAGCUAGCAAUUGGAUAAGACUCGAACGAUCUCUGUAGCCACAAGGUCGGCCUCUGCCCAAGUUUGGUGAGUGGGAUGUAAACAACCCUGCCUCUGCUGAAGGAUUCACAGUCAUCUUUAAUAAGGCUAGAGACGAGAAGAAGACCAAAAAUAGUCCAGAAAAAGUCGUAUCGCCACGAAGAACUGAACCUGGGUACAACAAAAAUGACAAAAAUGAGAAUUAUAAGCAUCCCCCAAAGAGGAGGUGGCUGUGCUGUAGUUGAACUUAUACUGCUGUAAGGGCCUUGAUAAAAUGACUGGUGAAAGCUACCAUAUCCGGGGCGGGGAUUCUCUGACGAAUGCCUGGGCCUUCUGAUGGAGCACUGAAUGGUAUCUGACCAUACUUUUCUUUGUUUUUUCCCCCUCCUAUACCCUUCACUCUUAUUUAUUGCCUUGGAUUCUUUCUUCUCAUUUUAUGUUUCUGAUGCUUCUCAAAUAAUGGUACAAGAGUGCCAAAAACAAGUUGAGGAUUUUUGUUUUUACGGAAGAUGUUAUCAGUGUUUCACUUGCUGGCUCUGAGCAAGAACAUGGUGCUAAUCAAUAAGACAGUUUACAUUUAUUAUUAUUG